rnacentral:lncRNA from 1 species
GAUCUCUCUCUCUGCGGAAGCCAGCCACCGCUCUCCAAGGACUCUCGAGCAGCUCCAUCUACAGAUUCACAUGGAGAAGAAUUAAGGGUUCCUGCCAAUCACCAGCACCACUUUGCCAGCCUUGUAAGUGGGCCACCUUGGAAUUGGAGCCUCCAGUUCCUACUGACAUCUGACUGCAACAUCAUGAGAGACCCUGAGUUUGAACCACCCAGCUGAGCUGCUUCUGAGCUAACCCACUGAAACCGUGAAAGUACCUGAAUGAAACAACACCCAGUAGCCACUAGCACACCUAGCUCCCAGAUCUGUUUUUGAUGCCAUUCUUCAGUAAAAGGAAGCAAGGCUGCUUGGAGAAAUUGCUAUCAAGGACUGGGGUAGAAAAUAUACAAGAUGAAAUUGGAGCAUCUUGUAGUGCUUGAAAACAGUUGGCAUCUGUGUGAAGAUGUGAAUGGAGGAGGCAGAGUAGGCAGUGAGUGCCGCAGCCACAGCUUGUGUUCUCUGCAGCCCUGGCACAGAAGAUAGGAACACUCAUGGGGGAUGCGGCCACUGUGAUGUCUUCCCACACAAGAAGUGCCAAGUGCUUUUCUCAUGCUUUUCUGGAUUGUCCCAUGGUGGACGAGUCAGCAGGAGUGAGAUGGAGCAGCACAGUAGAGGGGUGUGCCACCUCUUUGAUCCAGCAAGUGGGAAGAACAGUCCCGGCCUCUUUGCACACAAGACCGUGAUACCAAUGCACCAUCACAGGCCCCACAGGGGAGCUGUCCGCUUCCCCACACAGCUGCUAGGGGCUCUUUUGCAUGUUCCCAACCUUUCCUGCCUUUAUCUGAUAUUCGUUCCUUAGAUCCUGGGAUGAGGAGGUGGACCAGCAGAAGGUGGGCUUGUGAAGGCAGCCCGGGGUCCAAAUCCUCCUGGCUCUUCAGCUUAGCGGGUUAGUUAACAUUCAGAAGCCUUCAUCUCCCAUCUGCAAAAUGGGCAUGUCCAACUCAGAAGCUGCCUUGAAGAAAGGGUCUACCCAGCAUGGUGCGUGGAGCCUAAGCAGUCAGUACUUCAGGACUUCACCCGGCCCCUUUCCAAUAACUGCUGCUGUCGCCCUCACAGGAUGUCACCUUCAGCGUCUGAAAGCUGGGUUUGAUGCGUCUGGAAAGGCGUCCCUGACAGGCGUCGUUGCCAGGAGCCCCUAGUGCCACCAGCAGCCAGCAGGGGAGGGCGUCCUCUGCCCGCUCACUUCUGACCCUUCUCUCGUUGCACCCGGAACAUGGUGCAGCUGGGAGCAGCCUGGGCUGCGCGGAAGGCUCAGAUUUGGGGACGGCCCUUGCCAGUGACUGUGAGCUGGGGUGUCUUGGAAACUCCCAGUCUCAGCUUCUCCAUUUAUAAGAUGAGAAUGAUCAUACCAGACUCAGGCAAGGUUGUUUGUGCAUUAGUGAAAUCAGACGUAUUAAAUAAAGUACCACAUUGAUCGUGGAGUUGUUGAAUAACCAAGAACACGCCUAUCUGUCUCCAAAAAAUAAA